UACGUAGGGUGCAAGCGUUAAUCGGAAUUACUGGGCGUAAAGCGUGCGCAGGCGGUUGUGCAAGACAGAUGUGAAAUCCCCGGGCUUAACCUGGGAAUUGCAUUUGUGACUGCACGGCUAGAGUGUGUCAGAGGGGGGUAGAAUUCCACGUGUAGCAGUGAAAUGCGUAGAUAUGUGGAGGAAUACCGAUGGCGAAGGCAGCCCCCUGGGAUAACACUGACGCUCAUGCACAAAAGCGUGGGGAGCAAACAGG
rnacentral:rRNA from 1 species